rnacentral:rRNA from 1 species
GUGCCAGCAGCCGCGGUAAUACGUAGGUGGCAAGCGUUAUCCGGAAUUAUUGGGCGUAAAGCGCGCGUAGGCGGUUUUUUAAGUCUGAUGUGAAAGCCCACGGCUCAACCGUGGAGGGUCAUUGGAAACUGGAAAACUUGAGUGCAGAAGAGGAAAGUGGAAUUCCAUGUGUAGCGGUGAAAUGCGCAGAGAUAUGGAGGAACACCAGUGGCGAAGGCGACUUUCUGGUCUGUAACUGACGCUGAUGUGCGAAAGCGUGGGGAUCAAACAGGAUUAGAUACCCUGGUAGUCC